ACCUGGCUCGCUCAGUUAGUGGAGCAUGUGAUUCUUGAUCUCAGGGUUGUAAGUUUGAAUCUCGUGUUGGGUA
rnacentral:tRNA from 1 species